GAUGAACGCUGGCGGCGUGCCUAAUACAUGCAAGUCGAGCGAACAGACGAGGAGCUUGCUCCUCUGACGUUAGCGGCGGACGGGUGAGUAACACGUGGAUAACCUACCUAUAAGACUGGGAUAACUUCGGGAAACCGGAGCUAAUACCGGAUAAUAUAUUGAACCGCAUGGUUCAAUAGUGAAAGACGGUUUUGCUGUCACUUAUAGAUGGAUCCGCGCCGCAUUAGCUAGUUGGUAAGGUAACGGCUUACCAAGGCAACGAUGCGUAGCCGACCUGAGAGGGUGAUCGGCCACACUGGAACUGAGACACGGUCCAGACUCCUACGGGAGGCAGCAGUAGGGAAUCUUCCGCAAUGGGCGAAAGCUUGACGGAGCAACGUCGCGUGAGUGAUGAAGGUCUUCGGAUCGUAAAACUCUGUUAUUAGGGAAGAACAAAUGUGUAAGUAACUAUGCACGUCUUGACGGUACCUAAUCAGAAAGCCACGGCUAACUACGUG
rnacentral:rRNA from 1 species